GCCCCACUAGUCUGGGAUACCACUUGGAAACAAGGUGCUAAUACCGGAUAAGAAAGACGGAUCGCAUGAUCAGCUUUUAAAAGGCGGCGUAAGCUGUCGCUAUGGGAUGGCCCCGCGGUGCAUUAGCUAGUUGGUAAGGUAAAGGCUUACCAAGGCGAUGAUGCAUAGCCGAGUUGAGAGACUGAUCGGCCACAUUGGGACUGAGACACGGCCCAAACUCCUACGGGAGGCAGCAGCA
rnacentral:rRNA from 1 species